rnacentral:rRNA from 1 species
AACGAACGCUGGCGGCAGGCUUAACACAUGCAAGUCGAACGCGUGCAGCAAUGCACGAGUGGCGCACGGGUGCGUAACGCGUGGAUAUCUGCCUUUUGGUUCGGAAUAACCCCGGGAAACUGGGGCUAAUACCGGAUGGUUCCUACGGGAUAAAGAUUUAUCGCCAAAAGAUGAGUCCGCGUCCGAUUAGCUAGUUGGUGAGGUAAUGGCUCACCAAGGCGACGAUCGGUAGCUGGUCUGAGAGGACGAUCAGCCACACUGGGACUGAGACACGGCCCAGACUCCUACGGGAGGCAGCAGUGGGGAAUAUUGGACAAUGGGGGCAACCCUGAUCCAGCCAUGCCGCGUGAGUGAUGAAGGCCUUCGGGUUGUAAAGCUCUUUUGGCGGGGACGAUGAUGACGGUACCCGCAGAAUAAGCCCCGGCUAACUUCGUG